rnacentral:pre_miRNA from 1 species
CUAGUACUCCCUCCGUUCGGAAUUACUUGUCGUAGAAAUGGAUGUAUCUAGAUGUAUUUUAGUUCUAGAUACAUCCAUUUCCAAGACAAGUAAUUCCGAACGGAGGGAGUAAUAC